rnacentral:rRNA from 1 species
AACGAACGCUGGCGGCAGGCUUAACACAUGCAAGUCGAACGCACCUUUCGGGGUGAGUGGCAGACGGGUGAGUAACGCGUGGGAAUCUACCCUUCUCUACGGGAUAGCUCCGGGAAACUGGAAUUAAUACCGUAUACGUCCUGAGGGAGAAAGAUUUAUCGGGGAAGGAUGAGCCCGCGUUGGAUUAGCUAGUUGGUGGGGUAAAGGCCUACCAAGGCGACGAUCCAUAGCUGGUCUAAGAGGAUGAUCAGCCACAUUGGGACUGAGACACGGCCCAAACUCCUACGGGAGGCAGCAGUGGGGAAUAUUGGACAAGGGGCGCAAGCCUGAUCCAGCCAUGCCGCGUGAGUGAUGAAGGCCCUAGGGUUGUAAAGCUCUUUCAGUGGGGACGAUAAUGACGGUACCCACAGAAGAAGCCCCGGCUAACUUCGUG